rnacentral:snRNA from 1 species
GCUCACUUCACUGGAGUAUAUACAAAAAUUGGAGAAGAUUAGUAUGGCUCCUGUACAAGGAUGGUAUAGGGAUUUGUGAAACAUUCCAUGUUUUU